rnacentral:rRNA from 1 species
AACGAACGCUGGCGGCAGGCUUAACACAUGCAAGUCGAGCGCCCCGCAAGGGGAGCGGCAGACGGGUGAGUAGCGCGUGGGAAUCUACCUUUUGCUACGGAAUAACGCAGGGAAACUUGUGCUAAUACCGUAUGUGCCCUUCGGGGGAAAGAUUUAUCGGCAAAGGAUGAGCCCGCGUUGGAUUAGCUAGUUGGUGGGGUAAAAGCCUACCAAGGCGACGAUCCAUAGCUGGUCUGAGAGGAUGAUCAGCCACAUUGGGACUGAGACACGGCCCAAACUCCUACGGGAGGCAGCAGUGGGGAAUAUUGGACAAUGGGCGCAAGCCUGAUCCAGCCAUGCCGCGUGAGUGAUGAAGGCCUUAGGGUUGUAAAGCUCUUUCACCGGUGAAGAUAAUGACGGUAACCGGAGAAGAAGCCCCGGCUAACUUCGUGCCAGCCGCCGCCGUAA